CAGCCGCCGCGGGAAUACGGAGGGUGCAAGCGUUAAUCGGAAUUACUGGGCGUAAAGCGCACGCAGGCGGUCUGACAAGUCAGAUGUGAAAUCCCCGGGCUUAACCUGGGAACUGCAUUUGAAACUGUCAGGCUGGAGUCUUAUAGAGGGGGGUGGAAUUCCAGGUGUAGCGGUGAAAUGCGUAGAGAUCUGGAGGAAUACCGGUGGCGAAGGCGGCCCCCUGGACAAAGACUGACGCUCAGGUGCGAAAGCGUGGGGAGCAAACAGGAUUAGAUACCCGAGUAGUCCCUGUCUCUUAUAC
rnacentral:rRNA from 1 species